UGCAACGAAUCUACACAAUGAUACUACAGACGAGCAUGAGAAACUAUUCCAAAUAUCGGCGGGUAAUGAUACCCACCUCUCCAGGCGUGAUUCCUAGCAGCUUCGGUUGCCUCGUUACUCUGCCGAUCAGAUGUUCGGUAGCUAAAAUCAGAUGCUGCAUGGGUACAUAACAAACAACAAAGCAAAACUGCGGCAACAAUAAAAUAUUCGUUAACCGAUCACAUAGGCGUGCUGAUAUGCUUGAUAAGUAUGGCCAUACCCUUAACAAAAGUACUUACGGGUUUGAACUUACAGGGAGUAAUGUAGUUGCAGUCUAGCUUGCCUUGUUCCAGAUGGCCAUUCAGCCCACUAGAUGGCGUGGACCAGGCGACACCACUUUCUAAUACGGGGUGACGAUAAAAGCUGGUAGGCGGUGUACAAUUAACACCCACCGAUCGCAGGUAAACAAUCUUCAACAAUCA